CACAGAGGGUGCGAGCGUUGUUCGGAAUUACUGGGCGUAAAGCGCUUGUAGGCGGCCAUGCGAGGUCGCGCGUGAAAUCCCCGGGCUCAACCCGGGAAGUGCGCGCGAAACCGGCGGGCUGGAGUCCCGGAGAGGGUCGCGGAAUUCCCGGUGUAGAGGUGAAAUUCGUAGAUAUCGGGAGGAACACCAGAGGCGAAGGCGGCGACCUGGAAGGCGACUGACGCUGAGAAGCGAAAGCGUGGGGA
rnacentral:rRNA from 1 species